AGUCUUCGGACUGAGUGGCGGACGGGUGAGUAACGCGUGAGAAUCUGCCUAGAGGUCGGGGACAACCAUUGGAAACGAUGGCUAAUACCGGAUAUGCCUUACGGGGUGAAAGAUUAAUUGCCUUUAGAAGAGCUCGCGUCUGAUUAGCUAGUUGGUGAGGUAAGAGCUCACCAAGGCAGCGAUCAGUAGCUGGUCUGAGAGGAUGACCAGCCACACUGGGACUGAGACACGGCCCAGACUCCUACGGGAGGCAGCAGUGGGGAAUUUUCCGCAAUGGGCGAAAGCCUGACGGAGCAGGACCGCGUGAGGGAGGAAGGCUCUUGGGUUGUAAACCUCUUUUGUCAGGGAAGAACAAAAUGACGGUACCUGACGAAUCAGCAUCGGCUAACUCCGUGCCAGCAGCCGCGGUAAUACGGAGGAUGCAAGCGUUAUCCGGAAUUAUUGGGCGUAAAGCGUCCGCAGGUGGCUGAUCAAGUCUGCGGUCAAAGACCGGGGCUUAACCCUGGAAAGGCCGUGGAAACUGAUAGAGCUAGAGUACCGUAGGGGUAGAGGGAAUUCCCGGUGUAGCGGUGAAAUGCGUAGAGAUCGGGAAGAACAUCGGUGGCGAAAGCGCUCUACUGGACGGUGACUGACACUCAG
rnacentral:rRNA from 1 species